GAAAUGCGAUAAGUAAUGUGAAUUGCAGAAUUCAGUGAAUCAUCGAAUCUUUGAACGCACCUUGCGCUCCUUGGUAUUCCUUGGAGCAUGCCUGUUUGAGUAUCAUGAAAUCUUCAAAGUAAAUCUUUUGUUAACUCAAUUGGUUUCUACUUUGGUAUUGGAGGUCUUUGCAGCUUCACACCUGCUCCUCUUUGUUCAUUAGCUGGAUCUCAGUGUUAUGCUUGGUUCCACUCGGCGUGAUAAGUUAUCUAUCGCUGAGGACACUGUAAAAGGUGGCCAAGGUAAAUGCAGAUGAACCGCUUCUAAUAGUCCAUUGACUUGGACAAUACUUUUAUGAUCUGAUCUCAAAUCAGGUAGGAAUACCCGCUGAACUUAAGA
rnacentral:misc_RNA from 1 species